AUUAACGGAUGCAUAGAUGGUUUCAGUCGUUUUGUUGUUUGGAUGGAAGCUUACACAACAAACAACGACCCCAAGGUUAUAGCUGACUAUUAUAUGAAAUGCGUUACGCGCUUGGGUGGGUGUUCAGAGAGGAUUCGUGCGGACAAUGGCACUAAAAAUGGACAUGUCGCUAACAUGCAGGUGUUUCUGAGGAGAAACCACACCGACACCUUCGCCAAAGAGAAUAGUUUUAUUUAUGGACGCAGUACGGGCAAUCAACGUAUUGAAUCCUGGUGGGGAAUACUGCGCAAACAAAGCGUUCAAUUCUGGAUGAACAUGUUCAAAGCUCACCAAGACAAUGGCCACUUCUCUGGAGACUUUUUGGAUAAAAGCCUAAUCCAGUUCUGUUUCCUCAACCUCGUUCAGAGAUGAAAAUGCAGAAGAAACACAAAGUAGUAGUAUUACACCACCAGCUGAGGAAGAACUGCAUGAAUGCUGUCAAGACACUCUGCAACAACACGAACAAACAUGCUGCCAAGGCAAAAGCAAAAGGGAGCAAGUACAAGUGGACUGACAUUGGAGUAGAGGAAUUCUACAAGUACAUUGGACUAUUAUUUUACAUGGGCAUGAUAAAGUUACAUUACAUUAUUGGCAUUUGGCAGACGCUCUUAUCCAGAGCGACGUACAACAAAGUGCAUACCCAUAACCAGGGAUAAGUUCGCUGAAAGACCCUAGAGGUAAGUACAAUUUCAACUGCUACCUGUACAACAAAGAUAAGGACAAGGGCCAUUUUUUUUUUUUUUUUGAACAAACAAACAAACAAACAGAGCAAAAGUCACCAAAGUUAACUAUCCAAACACUGCUUACCUAGCCAACUAAA